UGUCAUCGAAACCGGGUCGGUUUCCUUCGGGAAAUAAUAGGGAAUUCGCCAUCCGCCCUUUGGUGUGGAUGAACCGGAACUGCCCCCGCAACUGUAGACGGUGAGCUACCUCCAUCAUGCCACUGGGCCUAAAGGUCCGGGAAGGCGGGGACAGCCGCGAUCCGUCAGUCAGGAGACCUGCCGACACUGAACCUGAAACA
rnacentral:ncRNA from 20 species